rnacentral:rRNA from 1 species
GACUAAGCCAUGCGAGUCAUGGGGCGCGCUCUGCGCGCACCGGCGGACGGCUCAGUAACACGUCGGUAACCUACCCUCGGGAGGGGGAUAACCCCGGGAAACUGGGGCUAAUCCCCCAUAGGCCUGAGGUACUGGAAGGUCCUCAGGCCGAAAGGGUCUUUGACCGCCCGAGGAUGGGCCGGCGGCCGAUUAGGUAGUUGGUGGGGUAACGGCCCACCAAGCCGAAGAUCGGUACGGGCCAUGAGAGUGGGAGCCCGGAGAUGGACACUGAGACACGGGUCCAGGCCCUACGGGGCGCAGCAGGCGCGAAACCUCCGCAAUGCGGGCAACCGCGACGGGGGGACCCCCAGUGCCGUGGCAUCGCCACGGCUUUUCCGGAGUGUAAAAAGCUCCGGGAAUAAGGGCUGGGCAAGGCCGGUGGCAGCCGCCGCGGUAAUACCGGCGGCCCGAGUGGUGGCCGCUAUUAUUGGGCCUAAAGCGUCCGUAGCCGGGCCCGUAAGUCCCUGGCGAAAUCCCACGGCUCAACCGUGGGGCUUGCUGGGGAUACUGCGGGCCUUGGGACCGGGAGAGGCCGGGGGUACCCCUGGGGUAGGGGUGAAAUCCUAUAAUCCCAGGGGGACCGCCAGUGGCGAAGGCGCCCGGCUGGAACGGGUCCGACGGUGAGGGACGAAGGCCAGGGGAGCGAACCGGAUUAGAUACCCGGGUAGUCCUGGCUGUAAAGGAUGCGGGCUAGGUGUCGGGUGACUUCGAACUCGCCCGGUGCCGAAG